UACGUAGGGUGCAGGCGUUAAUCGGAAUUACUGGGCGUAAAGCGUGCGCAGGCGGUCUUUUAAGUCAGAUGUGAAAUCCCCGGGCUUAACCUGGGAACUGCGUUUGAAACUGAAAGGCUAGAGUGCGGCAGAGGGGGGUGGAAUUCCACGUGUAGCAGUGAAAUGCGUAGAGAUGUGGAGGAACACCGGUGGCGAAGGCGGCCCCCUGGGCUAGCACUGACGCUCAGGCACGAAAGCGUGGGGAGCAAACAGG
rnacentral:rRNA from 1 species